CUGACUCAGGGAGGUAGUGACGAGAAAUAACAAUGCCGGGCUCUUUCGAGUCUGGCAAUUGGAAUGAGAACAAUUUAAAUCCCUUAUCGAGGAUCCAUUGGAGGGCAAGUCUGGUGCCAGCAGCCGCGGUAAUUCCAGCUCCAAUAGCGUAUAUUAAUGUUGUUGCAGUUAAAAAGCUCGUAGUUGGAUUCCUGGCUCGGGGUAGCCGGUCCGCCUUGCAAAAGGUGCGUACUGUGCGGCCUCGGCCAUCCUUUGGAAAAGCGGCCCUGGCAUUUAGUUGUCGGGGUCGGGCUUCCAAACGUUUACUGUGAAAAAUCAGAGUGUUCAACGCAGGCUUACGCCUUGAAUACAUUAGCAUGGAAUAAUGAGAUAGGACUUUGGCGGUCUAUUUUGUUGGUUUGCACGCCGAAGUAAUGAUUAACAGGGACGGUUGGGGUUCUUCGUAUUCAAUUGUCAGAGGUGAAAUUCUUGGAUUUAUGGAAGACGAACUGCUGCGAAAGCGUCGAACAAGGACGUU
rnacentral:rRNA from 1 species